rnacentral:misc_RNA from 1 species
AAGUCGUAACAAGGUUUCCGUAGGUGAACCUGCGGAAGGAUCAUUAACACGUAUCCAACGUUAAACCCCCCGUGAACCUUCAGAGCGUUCUUGCCGCCCGUGACAAUCAGCAAUCCUGGUAAAUCAAGUGGGAAUAUCCGUUAUUGAUUCAGGACCUCUGCUGUCAUGUGUUAGGGAAACCAUAGCGGCAAUUGAGAGCUUUUAUCGUUAGUUUGGCGUCCUGGCCGGGCGAGUGAAAGUGUCGCUAGACGGUUUCUAGGGUAAGGCUUCGCCAUCGCUGGAGGCUCACCACGUAGCCGGCGGACAAACUACAGGGCUUUAUGCCCCCUAAUGACGACCAAGUUAAAUAGGGCCUCUGUCACAUAGCAAGUGCGCCGUGCCAGAGGAAAAGUACAACUGUUAACAAUGGAUAUCUUGGUUCUC